UAACACCUCAGCAAGACGGGCACUGCUGU
rnacentral:misc_RNA from 1 species